rnacentral:rRNA from 1 species
GAUGAACGCUGGCGGCGUGCCUAAUACAUGCAAGUCGAGCGAACAGACGAGGAGCUUGCUCCUCUGACGUUAGCGGCGGACGGGUGAGUAACACGUGGAUAACCUACCUAUAAGACUGGGAUAACUUCGGGAAACCGGAGCUAAUACCGGAUAAUAUAUUGAACCGCAUGGUUCAAUAGUGAAAGACGGUUUUGCUGUCACUUAUAGAUGGAUCCGCGCCGCAUUAGCUAGUUGGUAAGGUAACGGCUUACCAAGGCAACGAUGCGUAGCCGACCUGAGAGGGUGAUCGGCCACACUGGAACUGAGACACGGUCCAGACUCCUACGGGAGGCAGCAGUAGGGAAUCUUCCGCAAUGGGCGAAAGCCUGACGGAGCAACGCCGCGUGGGUGAUGAAGGUCUUCGGAUCGUAAAGCUCUGUUAUUAGGGAAGAACAAAUGUGUAAGUAACUAUGCACGUCUUGACGGUACCUAAUCAGAAAGCCACGGCUAACUACGUG